ensembl:lncRNA
CACUUCCUGUGACGUCAUUUCCUGUUAAAAAUCUUACCUCUGUAGAAGGAAUGGCAGACAUGUGCAUCUUCUGAUUGUAAUCCGCUAGCAUCCACAUGGAAGCAUCUAAGAGGCAAUGCCAUCCCAGUCCAUCAUGCUCCCCUUGCCUGCCGUGCCACCAUCAUGCCUCAUGCAUCACUUCUCAGCACCCUGCCCAGCUGCAUCUUAUUCCCUUACUCCAGCUCUUUCCCAUAAGUGACAAACACGCCUCACCCAAGUGUUUUUAAUAAUUUAUUAAUUAUGCAUGUAAGGUGUGCUUAAGUGGCCUGAAAGGUGCCCAUCAAUAAAAUGCUUAUUAAUAUAACAUUAUGGCUCCAUCAAAAGCAAAGUACACCUGCCAUUUACAGUUAUCAUUUAUACUAUCCAAGACAUCUUUAAACUUAUUUACAUAGGCCUACAGUAGGCCUGAUUUCCUCUGAAUGUUUAAAUAAAAAAAUUCCCUGUCCAUGUCAGAUCCCUGUCCAUCAUACUCCUGUUGUUGUCUUCCUGCACACCUGACUGCCUCCUCCAUUGAUUGCGGCCACAGCCCUCUCCCUG